UAUAUCCCAGAAGCAUUCUCUCCUGACACUAUUUGAGAACACAGAAAUGCUAGACCAUUCUAACAACUACCACGUCAGAUUACACAGAGAAGCCAUUGAAAUCCACAAGCAUGUGAACAAUUUCAACAGAAAGGAGGAAACCAUGAAAAUGAACAAAAUCUGGCUACCAGUAUAAAAAAACUCUAAAAUCAGAACAGUAAAUAAAGAGCAAGACUCAAAAAGCAGAGGAACUCCAGACAAGAAUAAAUUAGGGCCAGCUAACAACUCCCAACAAAGGAUUCCCCCAGGCAGCUACCAGUCAGGCCUUGAAACUGUGGGCCAUUAUCAUGCUUAUCAAGUUGGCAAAUUGCAAUAUUCAAAGGUCAGGAGAGAAUGCUUCUGGAACAUGACCAGGCAGCCUGGAAAACUCACAACAACCCAAUGAUUCCAGCCAUGAAAGCCUUUGACAACACGGUGGGAGAAAGAACGUUUGUCUGUUGGAGGCAAGUGUAACUGCUGCAAUUACUCACAUUGAUUAGCAUCAAAAGCCUUGCAGCUUCAAGGCAUGACUGAUUCCUGCCUGGGGGAAUCUUUUGUUGGGAGAUGUUAGCUGGCUCUGAUUGUUUCAUGUCUAGAAUUCCUCUGUUUUCAGAAAACAGUUAAUUCCAUGGCCAAACUUCUGUUUGUGUGUCACAAAUUUCAUUAAACGUGUGGAGGAUGAAGUUUCUCUUGCCAGGAUAAAUUUUCGCCCUCUAGUCAACUGUUACCAUGUUUUUAGGAACCGACAUGUAUAAUCUGGGAACAAACCAACAUAAAAAUCCUGCAUUUUCUGAGUGUAGGGACGUACAGAGAUUAGAAUAUCCGCAUUUUCCGGACAGAACUGGAAUAUUCCUGCAACUGAAAAUCUUGCGUUUUUAGUGCUUUGUAGCUAUUCCUCCUGUGUUUUCAGAGGACGUAGUUUGGCCACCCAACAUACUGAAACGGGAGCUCCUGGCAUAAAGGUGUUGUGUGGAUAGGCCCUCACUAUAUGACAUAUGGAGCAGCCUCUAUAGAUGUAUAUAUUUUAUAUAAUUCAUUUGCGGGUGGAGGAGUCCGAUUUCUUGACAACACAGUCAUGUUAGAGAUCAUAGCAGUUUCUAGAGAGAAGUGUGGAUUGAGGGUUUUGAAUCCUUUUGAAGCAGGGAGAAACCUCACCUUGAUUCUAUGUAAAUACAAUGGUUAACUAGAGGGUACUAGUUAGAGAUUUUAAAAAGGAUGGUGUAUAUUAUAUAUGUCUUGAGAAGGUAUGUCUCCUAUCAAAGGAAGGUUAAAGGUAGGAGGAGAUAAUGUCCUUGUAUUGUAUUUAAUUCAGAGCUGCUUUGUCUCCUUUGUGGAGAGAAACGCAGAGUACAAAUAAACAUAAUAAUCAUAAUAGUAAUUGAACAUUUGUAAUGCAAUUGCAAAGGGAAAUAUGUAAAAAGUGUAGAAUUAUUGCAGUUUGACUUCACUUUAACUGGUGGGUGGAAAGGAAAGAAGAAAAAAGAAUAAUACGAGUAUCUUUAAAUAUAUUUUUGCAUAAACUUUCAUUGAUAUAAACCCAUUUUUUGGAUUGCAGUACUGAAUGAAAGUAAUAAAAAUAUUACGGUAUCUAAUGAACUAUGAAUGUUGUUGAUUUUUAAAAGUAUCUCUAUUCCAUUCCACAACAAGCCAUGAGGUGGCGUCAUUUCCAAACAUAUGGUUGGAUUGAUGGUUAGAAUAAUUGCAGUCUGAAUGUCAUUCCAAUUAUUUCAACAAGACAGAAAAAUACAAAUGAGCUGUGGCUAGAUGGUGUUUAGAGGUCUGUGAAUAUGCCAAGGGACAGGUUACGUGAGCCUAAGUGUUUGCUUACUGUUCUCCAGUCUUGCUUCCUUUUGAGUUCUGGUUAUGUUUGAAGGGGUAUCAUCCAAGGAAUGUGGCCGGUGCAAUGGGCACCAGGUGAAACCUGCCUCUGAAACAGUGUGGCUGUGAUGGACUGUAAAGGCAACCUGGAGAUGCUCUGAAGGCAGUACGUGAAAAGGGGAGGAAGGAGAGCCUGACACCCCAAGUCCCUGGACCCAUUCUGACCACGACUACCCACCCUCCUCUUCAGAAUCCACCACCAACUACAGAACCUCAGGAAGGUCUGUGUGAAUGUUUUCCCUUGUUGUUGGCGGAGGAGGAUGAUCAAAGUGUAUCCUAUAAGGAGUCAUUCUCCUCCAGUAAGAUCACCGCAAUGGACACCUGGCAGUUGUGGAUGGUAUCAGCUCCGCAGUGGGGCCGGGAUGCAGGGCCCCAUUCAAACAGUAUCCUAUGAAUCCUGGUGCACCCUGGCCAGGGGAGGAGACAACGACAGUUUGGACGCACUUUGGAGACAGCUGUCCCAGGAAUUGAGUGAAGCACCACCACUGGAGAUUGAGGAUUUGGAGGAUGCCAAAGUGAACCCAGACCAGGGAAGGAGACACACUUUGGAGCCAGCAGUCCCAAGCAUUCAGAUUUCCAUUUUCCUUAAAAUGGCCGAUGGCCUAUGGUGCUUGACCAAGGAUUGGGAUUACUGUCUAUGUUUAAAGUUAUUUUAACUUUUUGAGCCAAUGUCAUUGGAAAUCCAGGAUUUGGAAGAUGCCCGAAGUAAAGUGGGACUGGAAAGCAGAAAGGGAUGGCAGCGUCAGUCAUGGGGCCCCCAGAGCCUGGCAGAGGCACCCAAAGUGCCUUAGUUGUAAUUGCAAAACUCAUGGGGGAAGAAGAAAACAUCUCUUGCUGGCUGAACUUUUCCAAAGUUGUUUGGAAAAGUCAUUUGCAAGGAGGCAUAAUCCUGCAAUAGUGAGCAUCCUGUAGUAGCACUUGAUUUCUUUCAGCAUAGUUGCACAGGGUUCUGUUGCUUAUGUUUUGCUGUUUUCUCUUCUUCUCUAGUGCUCCAGUUGAAACUCAAGAGUCCUCCUCCAUGAACAGCACAUUAGACACUUGAGUCGGGUGGGAAAGGCAGGAGCAUUAUAAGGGAUCAGGAUUUCAGAGGAAGUCUCUCUCUCUUUUACAGCAUUUCUGCUUAAAGGUAUACUCCAUCUCUGUCUAAGUUUCAGACUGCAGGCAAAACACUCAUUUUGCCUUCAGCCAUAACUAAUGAAAAGCAACCCCACCAAAAAGCUUAACCAUUAUGAUGAUUUCAGAGCAAUAAACGCUUUUGUGAUCAGCUCAGCAGCUGUGCUUGGAUGCAAGAAGUGAGGGCCCCUUUCAAGAGGAGACCAAUGAAUCCUGGAUAUGGAGUGAAAGGCAGGAGCAUUAUACUUCUACAAAGAGGAGGGGAUUGGGGUUUGGGAGGCUCAGGACAACAGAGAUCACCUUCAGCCAGGUAAGUCAUGGAUAGGCCCCCACAGAGGAUUGGUUGGACAACAGGAGCACCUCUGAAGAGGAAGAGUGGAAGACCUCACUGUCCUUGGAUGAAGGUGCAUUGUUCUACUGGAAAGGGAAGUUAAUCCCAUCUGAGCAUCCAAAGUUAAUGUUCACCUUGCUGAUGUUUCCUCUCUUCCACUUCUGCUCUCAGGAUUACAAACUGUGAAGAAAGAGAACAAUGUGAGCAACUCACUUCAGGCUCAUCCUUGUCAGUCCAUCUGCAUAAGAGAAAGUAUGAGGCUAAGAGGGCACUCUAGAGAGAACUGUACGCAGGAGCUUGUAUAUUCAGCUAAAAACAUCAAAAUCCAUUAGUAUUUGAGAGCUUUUCAAGGAAACAGAACAAAUGAUCACCCCUCAUUUAGUCGUAACACUAUUCAAAAAGUUGGGAAGGUCUACAAAGAAGCCAUCUUCCAGCCCCACUAUUUAAAAAUGAAACAUGCAAGAGACGAGGAGAAACCAGAGAGAACUAGUUGUCUCUCCCUCAUUAAAUACCACUCCCAAAUAACAAUUAGAAUGCAAUGCCUCUGAGCAGAUGCAGAGUCCCAUUGUGUACCUUUUAACACACCAUAUAUUCAGGCAGGGCAUAAUUAAACAUCUCCCUUUUUACUGAAAAAGGAGGAGCCACAGUUACAUCUAUUGGAUGUGUAUCAUUUUUGGCGUCCAAGUGGAUCUGAGUGAUUUAAGAAAUUAUCACAAAAGGAUAACAUAGUGCAACUGCAGGUGUAUAAAGACCCCUGCACAGGACACUGUGGCUCUCUUGAUGCUGGUGUGAAUUCUGAUCAUUACAAUUGAACAGUUCUGCCAAUAUAAAUAUUUUUUUAAAAGGGGAUCAGCUGGGAAGGACAAAGUUGGAAAAACUACCUACAGGAAAGGAGAUUCCACCUGAACAUCAGGAAGAACUUUCUCACUGUGAGAGCUGUUCAGCAGUGGAACUCUCUGCCCCGGGGUGUGGUGGAGGCUCCUUCUUUGGAGGCUUUUAAGCAGAGGCUGGAUGGCCAUCUGUCGGGGGUGCUUUGAAUGAGAUUUUCCUACUUCUUGCAGGGGGUUGGACUGGAUGGUCGCUUCCAACUCUACGAUUCUAUGAUUCUAUUAUUCCAAGCCCCCCUUGGCUACAUGCCUGUAUGGGACUAUGGUAUUUAAAGUGAGGUCCAGCUGCAUUCAUUCUAUAGUGUAAAUGUACCAAGAAAAGGGUAUGGAUCUUGGGAAACAAUAACUCCCAGGAGGACUCCAUCUCAUGGAGCCAUGGCAUUAAAGUGAAAAACCUUGGAAAACUAUGGCUCCCAGGACUGCACAGCAUAGAGACAUGGCAUAAUAAUAACAACAACAACAACAACAACAACAACAACAACAACAACAACAACAACAACAUUGAUCUGCAAAGACUCUGGCACAAGCCAGUAAAGGUGGUCCCAGUGGUGAUCAGCACACUGGGUGCAGUGCUUAAAGACCUUGGCCUGCACUUGAAAACAAUUGGCGCUGUUCUGCCUCCGUGCAUAACUAAAUGAACUGGAAGGCACUGUAGCACAAAGAACAGAUCAGAGGCUGUAUUUGGCAAAUCAAAAUGUUUUAUUAAUGGACAAGUUGAACUUUUCCUCUUGGUUGCCACUAUAAAGUCUCUAUGAGGAAAUGAAAUAUUUGAAGUCUAUGCAGUUUUGGAUGGUUAUUGCCAUGCAGUAUAAAGUCCUAAUAUGACUGUAUUCUAUUUAUCUUUGAACUGACUUUAAUACAAUGUUGACAUGACUUUAUCGUUGUAUUAUAAUCUAAUUUGAAUACACUUCCAACAUGACAUGAAUUUCUGUGCAUUUUCUAGCUUCCUAUGCUUCCUUCCAGAGCCAUUCUACUAAUCAGGAGAGCCUUUUGUGUUUGGGUUGUGCUCUUGUUACCAUCAAAUUUUGCUGUUCUUACCAUAAAAUUAAUUUACACUAUCAAGACUUGCCAUCAGUUGGGGGCCCCUCCCCCUUGCAACAACAUAGUACUAUAUAAUA